UUUAGUUUGUUCUGGGUUUUUUUAUAGAAACACUUUAUUGCUGCAGUCAAUAACCCUGUGUAUCACACACAAAUAACCAAUUACAGUUUAAGAAACUAAAAAUAAUUCUGCAAGUGGUAAUACUGAGAAAACAUACAUGAAAGGAUAUAAAACUAUACAUUUAAGUUACUAGAAAUUUACUAACUAAAAAAUUCUGCAGAAGUGUGUCCUGUAUAAACUAUACAACAUAUGCCAGUGUAAAGUUAACAUUAAACAAUUACCUAUCUACAAACGUUUUACCUAAAUACAAGAUCAGCUCCAAUUUUUAAACAGUUACCUUCUAUACAAAGACAAGUGCUUUCAGUACUUAAUUGGAAUAUACAGACACUGCAAUAUGUUAAAACUAAAAGAUAAUCACAAAAUAAAAGGUCCCGCUUAUAAGUUUUCUUUGUGUAGCUAACAUAACACUGUGAAAAUCCAGCCAGCAAUAUCCUCACUCCUGUAUUUGCCCUGUGCCACCCAUAUUUGAAAGGGACCCAACCCAGAGUCACUGACCUCCCUUUCAUUGCUGGCCACAGUCUCCCCAGCAGACUAUACCAGAAACCUAUAUCUUAACAUGCUUCAACUUUGGGAGAAAUUUGGAUCUGGAUCCCACUUCGCAAUAGACAUUUAUCCAGCCAAACACAGGGCAGAAACAACCUGCUCCUGCAUGUGGCCAUAUUCACACAUCACUUGAAAGGUUUCUGAAGAGCAGAACGCCAAGCAGACACCUGCCUUAUAGCUCCCACAAGUGGGACUGAUGCUCUGACCAGCACAGGGAAUUGGGAGAAGUGGGCUUGGACAGGGAGUUACUAUUGCUUCCCAGGAUUUCCCAGGUACAGCACAGAGGCCCAGCACUUCUCUAACUCCUUGUAGGCUCAGUGUAACAUUUGUUGAAUCCCUCCUGCUGAAACAAAGCCAAUCUCAAUGACAUUCAGCCACAGGAAGCUGUCCCCAGGUCUGGCCAUCUCUUCAGAACACAGG
rnacentral:lncRNA from 1 species